GAUGAACGCUGGCGGCGUGCCUAAUACAUGCAAGUCGAGCGAACGGACGAGAAGCUUGCUUCUCUGAUGUUAGCGGCGGACGGGUGAGUAACACGUGGAUAACCUACCUAUAAGACUGGGAUAACUUCGGGAAACCGGAGCUAAUACCGGAUAAUAUUUUGAACCGCAUGGUUCAAAAGUGAAAGACGGUCUUGCUGUCACUUAUAGAUGGAUCCGCGCUGCAUUAGCUAGUUGGUAAGGUAACGGCUUACCAAGGCAACGAUGCAUAGCCGACCUGAGAGGGUGAUCGGCCACACUGGAACUGAGACACGGUCCAGACUCCUACGGGAGGCAGCAGUAGGGAAUCUUCCGCAAUGGGCGAAAGCCUGACGGAGCAACGCCGCGGGAGUGAUGAAGGUCUUCGGAUCGUAAAACUCUGUUAUUAGGGAAGAACAUAUGUGUAAGUAACUGUGCACAUCUUGACGGUACCUAAUCAGAAGGCCACGGCUAACUACGU
rnacentral:rRNA from 1 species